rnacentral:rRNA from 1 species
UACGAAGGGGGCUAGCGUUGUUCGGAUUUACUGGGCGUAAAGCGCACGUAGGCGGAUCGUUAAGUGAGGGGUGAAAUCCCAGGGCUCAACCCUGGAACUGCCUUUCAUACUGGCGAUCUUGAGUCCGGAAGAGGUGAGUGGAACUCCUAGUGUAGAGGUGGGAUUCGUAGAUAUUAGGAAGAACACCAGUGGCGAAGGCGGCUCACUGGUCCGGUACUGACGCUGAGGUGCGAAAGCGUGGGGAGCAAACAGG